AAUCAGGACAAUGGUAGUGUACUGUGGGAAGAGGAGGGCUUGCGGCAAGAAUUUCCAAAUCCGUUCCGUUCAUUUUAAUGCAAACAACUGCCCUACAAACAUAUGCUUCCCAAAGAGGCACAAGAUGCCGAAAGCAAAGGGAAAGGAAGACCCAAAAUUUCAGCAUUAAAGCUCUAAUUUCAAGUUCCAAAGGCUAUCAACGACAUCAACGGAGGAAGAACACAAAGGACAAACAUAAUCCACUAAAUAAGACUAUAAUUUUUUGUAGUGUUAGAUCCAUUAUUUCCUCUUAUCUUUUUUUGUUUCGUUUCUCGUUAAGUCUCCCAAGCACAAAUGCCAAGACCCAACAUUGGAUUGACUUAGGAAAAAGACAAAAGGAAAUAAGGGUAACAAUAGAAGUAUGUUUUAUUACUACUUUCUUUUAGGGUUUAGUGACAAAGAAAGAAAGUGAACUUGAAAGCUAAGUCUUAUUUUUUUGUUUAUCAAAAAAUUGAAUGGAAUGAAAAUGAAAUUUUAGUUAAA